AGUGGCGGACGGGUGAGUAACGCGUGGGUAACCUGCCUCAUACAGGGGGAUAACAGUUAGAAAUGACUGCUAAUACCGCAUAAGACCACAGCACGCAUGGUGCAGGGGUAAAAACUCCGGUGGUAUGAGAUGGACCCGCGUCUGGUUAGCUAGUUGGUAAGGUAACGGCUUACCAAGGCGACGAUCAGUAGCCGACCUGAGAGGGUGACCGGCCACAUUGGGACUGAGACACGGCCCAA
rnacentral:rRNA from 1 species